rnacentral:lncRNA from 1 species
UUCUUCACCAGCGUGAUGACCUUUGCCUACCUUGUAGGCCUGAGCAUGCUGAGUGCCAUCAGUACUGAGUGCUGCCUGUCUGUCCUGCGGCCUAUCUGGUACUGCUGCUGCUGCCCAAGAAACCUGUCAACUGUCAUGUGUGCCCUGCCCUGGGCCCUGUCCCUGCUGCUGAACACCCUGGAAGGGAAGUUUUGUGGCUUCUUAGUUAGUAAUGGUGACUAUGGUUGGUGUUGGACAUUUGAUUUCAUCACUGCAGUGUGGCUGGUUUUUAUAUUUUUAAAUUUUUUUUGUGGUUCUCUGUGAGUCCAGCCUGGUCCUGCUGGUCAGGAUCCUCUGUGGCUCCCUGCACAUCCUGCUGACCACGCUGUGUGACCAUCCUGCUCACAGUGCUGCUCUUCCUUAUUUGCAGCCUGCCCUUAGGCAUUAAGUGGUUCCUAUUAUUCUGGAUCCUCGUGGAUUUUGAUAUCUUCCUUUGUCAUUUGCAACCAGUUUCAGAUGUCCUGUCCUCUCUUAACAGCAGUGCCAACCCCAUCAUUUACUUCUUCAUGGGCUCCUUUAGGCAGCGUCAAAAUUGGCAGAACCUGAAGCUGGUUCUCCAGAAGGCUCUGCAGGACACACCUGAGGUGGAUGAAGGUGGAGGGCGGCUUCCUCAGGAAACCCUGGAGAUGUCGGGAAGCAGAU